rnacentral:rRNA from 1 species
CACGUAGGGGACGAGCGUUGUCCGGAUUCAUUGGGCGUAAAGCGCGCGUAGGCGGCCCAGAAAGUCGGUUGUGAAAGCCCGGGGCUCAACCCCGGGACUGCAUCCGAUACUCCUGGGCUGGAGGUAGGUAGGGGAGAUCGGAAUUCCUGGUGUAGCGGUGAAAUGCGCAGAUAUCAGGAGGAACACCGGUGGCGAAGGCGGAUCUCUGGGCCUUACCUGACGCUGAGGCGCGAAAGCUAGGGGAGCGAACAGG